AACUCCAUGAUUUGUCUGUCUCCCCCUCCCCCCAUCUCUCCCUCUCGCGUAUUAACUGUUGAGGGGAUUGUCGUCUGGUUCGAUGUCAUUCAUGAGAAGCUCAAACAUAAACGUAAUAUUGAAUGAUUUCGGACCAGGCUUCAUUCCCCCCAACAAUGUUUGAUUAGCGUUCACAGAAUGGAUUGAGGGCUUAAUUCAAUCUUCUCCAUGGUAUUCCUCGGUUAGAUUCAGAUAAGGGAUCCUGCAAGUAAAUUAAGGUUGGUGUUUUAUUGUCUCGAUAAUAGUAUUAAAUUUUGCACGAACUAUUUUUGUGAUUUUCUUUUCCUCCGAUGAAGAGAACACACCUCAAUGCUAAUUCAGCAACCAGAGGCGGCAGUACAUGGUAUGAUUUCAGUUCCAAUCUCUUGUUCAUGUCUCAACAUGAUUGUAUCUUAGAGAAUAUUUUCUCUGUGUAUGCGAUACAUAUUUCAGGAACCAGGGGAGCAAGAAGAAGAAAGUAUCCAAAUUUAGUUUCCAAGCCUGGCUUUUUAAGUGUUUUUGCCUCGUUUAGUUUCAUAUGAUCUUCAGCGGCAUCACCAUUAACUUCUCAUUUGUACCAGGUGGGUCAGAUGUAUUAACUCUUGUGGGUCAACUUUAAUAAAUAAAAUUAGAACUACCAUAACUGGGAUCAGAUGAACAUGUGAAGUUCAUUAUUUCUGGUGGGUCAGAUUUGUUUGAUAUUGUUGUCAUGUACAUGUAUAUAUGUAUGUGUGUUUGUGAAGAGAAACUGCAGCUUCAUGUAAGGACUGGCAAUGGAUAUCCAUUUCAAUGUGUACAAAAUUUGUGAAUUCAUACCUUAUCUAUCAAUAUCAAUAUUCGGAUCUGACAAUAUUCAUUA